rnacentral:rRNA from 1 species
UACGUAGGGGGCUAGCGUUGUCCGGAAUCAUUGGGCGUAAAGCGCGUGUAGGCGGUCCGGUAAGUCCGCUGUGAAAACCCGCGGCUUAACCGUGGGCUUGCAGCCGAUACGGGCAGGCUAGAGUUCGGUAGGGGAGACUGGAAUUCCUGGUGUAGCGGUGAAAUGCGCAGAUAUCAGGAGGAACACCGGUGGCGAAGGCGGGUCUCUGGGCCGAUACUGACGCUGAGGAGCGAAAGCGUGGGGAGCGAACAGG